GGAGUUUGAUCCUGGCUCAGAAUGAACACUGGCGACAUGUCUUACACAAGCAAGUCAGACGGGAAGUGGCGUUUCCAGUGAUGGAUGGGUGAGUAAUGUGUAAGAACCUGCCCUUGGAAGGGAAACAACAACUCGAAAUGGCUGCUAAUUUCCCGUAGGCUAAGGAGCAAAAGGAGGAAUCUGCCCGAUGAGGGGCUCACGUCUGAUUAGCUAGUUGGUGAGGCAAUAGCUUACUAAGGCGAUGAUCAGUAGCUGGUCCGAGAGGAUGAUCUGGCAUACUGAGACACAGCCAAGACUCCUACAGGAGGCAAUAGUGGAAAAUUUUUCGCAAUGGGCAAAAGCCUAACAGAGCAAUGUUGCAUGGAGGUAGAAGGCCUACGGGUCGUGAACUUCUUUUUCUGGAGAAGAAGCAAUGACACUAUCCAGGGAAUAAGCAUCAGCUAACUCUGUGCCAACAGCCGCGGUAAGACAGAGGAUGCAAGUGUUAUCUGUAAUGAUUUGGCGUAAAGCAUCUGUAGGUGGCUUUUUAAGUUCGCCGUUAAAUCCCAGAGCUCAACCCUGGAUAGGCGAUGGAAACUACCAAGAUGGAGUACGGUAAGGGCAGAGAAAAUUUCCGGUGGAACGGUGAAAUGCGUAGAGAUCGGAAAGAAGACCAAUGGCAAAAGCACUUUUUUGGGCCGAAACUGACAUUGAGAGACGAAAGCUAGGGGAGCGAAUGGGAUUAGAUACCCCAAUAGUCCUAGCCAUAAACGAUGGAUACUAGGCGUUGUGCGUAUCAACCCGUGCAAUACUGUAGCUAAUGCGUUACUCAAAGGAGGUUUGAUGAAUGAAUUGUUGUUGAACUGUUUCUUUAAAGCUUUGAAAAUGAGUUUAAUCGGCUAAUAAUGAAUUGAUUUUGAAACAGUUUCCUUGAAAUAUGAAAAUAAGGUGACUUUUGGAUUUAGCUUGCUUUUGAAAUGGUUUUUGGAUCUGGACUGUUGAAAAGGAUUGUGGAACGGUUUAAUUGGGACCCGAACCGGGUGGCAAAGUCUAAGUUUUAGGGGAGGUGCUGCCGAAAUUCUGGUCGAACUCGGGACUUUAUUGAAAGGUUGUCUGGAAAAAUUAUGAGUUAAAGACUUCUACUAUUUUAUUUGAAUUAUCAAGAAAAGGAUGAUUCAAGCUUUUGAAAUGAAUUAUUAAAGAGAAAAUUGUGAUUUAGUCUUGUUUCUUAAGAAAAGCAUUGUAUCUCUUUGGGAGAAAGUUAUUUAGAUGAAACUUAUGUUUUAAAGCUGUUUUAA
rnacentral:rRNA from 1 species